rnacentral:rRNA from 1 species
AGUGAACGCUGGCGGUGGGCCUAACACAUGCAAGUCGAACGGCAGCACAGUAAGAGCUUGCUCUUACGGGUGGCGAGUGGCGGACGGGUGAGGAAUACAUCGGAAUCUACUUUUUCGUGGGGGAUAACGUAGGGAAACUUACGCUAAUACCGCAUACGACCUACGGGUGAAAGCAGGGGAUCUUCGGACCUUGCGCGAUUGAAUGAGCCGAUGUCGGAUUAGCUAGUUGGCGGGGUAAAGGCCCACCAAGGCGACGAUCCGUAGCUGGUCUGAGAGGAUGAUCAGCCACACUGGAACUGAGACACGGUCCAGACUCCUACGGGGGGCAGCAGUGGGGAAUAUUGGACAAUGGGCGCAAGCCUGAUCCAGCCAUACCGCGUGGGUGAAGAAGGCCUUCGGGUUGUAAAGCCCUUUUGUUGGGAAAGAAAAGCAGCAGGUUAAUACCCCGCUGUUCUGACGGUACCCAAAGAAUAAGCACCGGCUAACUUCGUG